UACGCAGGGUGCAAGCGUUAAUCGGAAUUACUGGGCGUAAAGCGCGCGUAGGCGGCCCUGUUAGUCCGCUGUAAAAGUCAAAGGCUCAACCUUUGAAUGCCGGUGGAUACUGCAGGGCUAGAGUCCGGAAGAGGCGAGUGGAAUUCCUGGUGUAGCGGUGAAAUGCGCAGAUAUCAGGAGGAACACCGGUGGCGAAGGCGGGUCUCUGGGCCGAUACUGACGCUGAGGAGCGAAAGCGUGGGGGAGCGAACAGG
rnacentral:rRNA from 1 species